UAUUUGCUCCUGCAGAAGAAGGUAGUGGCACUCCCUGCCUGGCUCCCAGGGGCGCUCACGCAUGGAAGAGCCAGCUCUGCGGCCAUGCUGAAAGCCAGCAUUUCUUCACAACCGCUCCGCCUCCCCUUACAUUUCUUUUUGUGCUGGUUUUCUUACUGCUUCAGGUGGGUUUUUUUCUCCGUCCCGUUGUUGUGGUGGUUGUUGCUACAUUCAAGGUCCUCUCGUCUCCGUUUUCUUUGCACAGCAGGGCGCAGCAUGUUGGCGUUAGAGUUGUGACGUGAAGCCAAACAGAGAUGGGGUCAAACCAAAAGCUUAGAUUUGAAGAGCCCCGGUGUUCAGGUGUUUCCAAUAUGUCCUCCAACUUCCACAUCCAUACAGCACGGCAGAAAUGAAAACAGCCUGGUAAACAAGAAGUUUGGUUUGGGUCCUAUGGUCACAAUCAUUGAAGAUGUGAUUUCAGAGAUGUCCAAAGGCAGCACUGUCAGAUUUUAUCUGAUUGAACGCUGUAGCAGGACUCCACUUCCGAGGAUGGCCAUGGCACGCUCUGGUGGCCCAACUAAUCCUGUCUCUCGCUCUGACUUCCCAGGGUGCCCCACCUGGGCUCACCUACUGCAACUUGUUGAAAAUAAAUAUAAAUUUAGGAGGC